UUCAGCAUCUAGCUGAAAGGCAGCACAAUGAAUAGAGCUGGCUCCAGCUCAGGCUAGAAUAAACUGCGUGCAUGAGGACCAGAACAUCUCUGUAAGUGCCCCAGCAUCAUCAACUGAUGGCAGCACAGCUCUGGGAAUAAACAGACUUCAGCUAAUGGCAGGAAUCGACAGGGGAAACAUGAAACAGAGAAAGCAAGACCAGGAUAACAGCACUGUCACUUCAAGAUGUGGACACUGUCUCCUGCAAUGGAACAGCAGAGCAGGGCUGGUUUCAACGGAUCACUGCAUUUGAAGCUAACAGGGCCCUCUCAGAUUGAGCUGUGCUGGACCAGAAGCUCAGGGGUAUGGAGGACAGAGCUACAGACUGUGAAGUUUGAAAAACUUUUAGCCUUGUCAGCACAAAAUUUCAGUUCAAUUAAUACACAGAACAUAGGGAAAACGAGUCUACUAAACGGAAGAGAUUUAUAACGCAUAUCAGAACCUCAGAAAAUGAACAGCUUGUGUUAAUAAAAUCAUUUUAAGAAAUGAGCAUAAAAUAUGAUAUGACUUAAUCACUGUGCAGUAUUUUUGCAAUUUUCCUUUAAACCAUCUUAAGGAGAUACUGGCAGUGAAACUAAUUGAAUUUCAAAGGAAAGGCACUGUGUGAAUGAUAGAUUUCUGUCCAACAGAGUUAUUGACAACAGAAAAAGAAAGGUCUGCAUUGACACUAAGGCUUUUUUCUGUGCACUAGAGAGAGAUUCUGGAUGCUUGGAAACAGCUUUGUAUUAGGGACACGUGUUUUGACCCUUCCUCCUCCCAGGGCCCAAAAAACAAAGGCUGUAAAUGAAGGGGGCAGUGGAGGCAGUGUAUUCAAACUGUUAAGACUUCAGUAAAAGAGUUGCUGUCAAGUUUCAGAAACUGUAAAUCAAAGGAAAACAGAAUAAAAAGAUAUUACAGUAUCAGCAUAAAUAAAAAUGAAGGAGAUGGUGCUAAGGAACAGAAACACUUUGAAACCUAGACUGGCUCUAUAUAGAGAUCUUCAGAAAGCUUUUCUAUCAGCUGAGAGUGCUUAGUGAAAGAACUGGAUAAACUCAUCACACAUUUACAUAUCAACAGCAUUACCAAACUGAAAUUGUCAGAGAAUCCUGUGUAUGCUGCCAUUCAUGGCCAUGGUGAAGACAAGAAAUGACAUAUUCUGCUUUCGCAGCGAGGUACCAAAUGCAGAGAUAUUGAACAUAACCAGUGAGCAUCCAGGUCUCCCUUGGUUCAGGCUUUUGACAUGAAAAAAAACUUUGUAACCCAAAGCCUUUUAAAACUGAGAUUUAAGGGAAAACAAA